UUCCUGGUGGCUUAGUUGGUAAAGAAUCUGCCUGCAAUGUGGAAGACCUGGAUUCAAUCUCUAGGUUGGGAAG
rnacentral:tRNA from 1 species